rnacentral:rRNA from 1 species
UACGUAGGGUGCGAGCGUUAAUCGGAAUUACUGGGCGUAAAGGGUGCGCAGGCGGCUUGCUAAGACAGGUGUGAAAGCCCCGAGCUUAACUUGGGAAUUGCGCUCGAAACUACUUGGCUCGAGUGUGGCAGAGGAAGGUGGAAUUCCACGUGUAGCGGUGAAAUGCGUAGAGAUGUGGAGGAACACCGAUGGCGAAGGCAGCCUUCUGGGCCAACACUGACGCUCAUGCACGAAAGCGUGGGGAGCAAACAGG